GAAAUGAUGAAGAGGUAGCUGAUCUACAAAGUAAGCAUGACAAGGAGACAACUGAUGGCAUAAACAAAAUGGAGGAACCCACAGAUGAAGUAAAGAGUGAAGAUAAAACAACUGAGACAAAUGACAAACUUGUAAGGUAAAAGAGCAAUGAUCAAGUGGCUGAGCCAGAGAAGUCUGAUGCUGCCGCAGGAGUCGGUUGUUGAUAAAAGAACUAUUACAGGCAUUUAGAUUCUUCGACAGGAACCGGGUGGGCUACAUCAAGAUAAACACCAUUGAAUGGGUCCUUUUGUCACUCCUAAGUUUAUCAUGAGCUUAUUAUAACUGCAGUUGUAAUAAGCUCACUGACUUGGCAGGUUGAAGAUCUGAGGUUGAUUAUUCACAACUUGGGGAAGUUCCUCUCCCACAGGGAUUUAACAUGUACAUUAUAGUGCGGCCCCAAAAUACCAUUCUCUUCUCGCCCAAUGAAACUUAUGGAAACAAGCCCGAUUUUAAGGAGCUCGAUCAAGGGAACCCAUCUCCCGUAUCCGGAGCUACCUCCGCGACAGUGUCCCUUCAUCAAUGUUGAUUUCGACGACUAACAGCAGUUCCACCUCAUCUGGCUCCAUCUCAGCGAAGGCAGCCUGACUGCCGAAUGACUGCUCACGAUUUGAGGCCUCGGCAUUUGAGAUUGAAUUCCGGUGGGCCCUUUGAUACACUGGUGCAUCAGUUCUGUAAAUUCUCGGUAAGGUGCAUUGCUUUUGUUCUUUCAAUUGCUGCGGUUGAUUGUAUUUUGGGAGAUGGAUGCGGUGUUUGGGAAUUGCAUUGCAUCAACAGCAUGUCUGUUCCUUUGAUCUGCAUUUUAUUUUGUUUUGUUUUUGUUUUUUUUUUAUUUUGUUUAUUU